UGGGGAAUAUUGCACAAUGGAGGGAACUCUGAUGCAGCGACGCCGCGUGAGUGAUGAAGGAAUUCGUUUCGUAAAACUCUGUUCUAUGGGAAGAAAAGGACUGUACCAUAGGAGAAAGCUCCGGCUAAAUACGUGCCAGCAGCCGCGGUAAUACGUAUGGAGCGAGCGUUGUCCGGAAUUAUUGGGCGUAAAGGGUGCGCAGGCGGCUUUACAAGUUGGAUGUGAAAUAUUGUGGCUCAACCACAAACGUGCAUCCAAAACCGCAAAGCUUGAGUUAAGGAGAGGUAAGUGGAAUUCCUGGUGUAGCGGUGGAAUGCGUAGAUAUCAGGAGGAAUACCGGUGGCGAAGGCGACUUACUGGACUUAAACUGACGCUCAGGCACGAAAGCGUGGGGAGCAAACAGG
rnacentral:rRNA from 1 species